ACGCACGCUGGCGGCGUGCUUAACACAUGCAAGUCGAACGGAAAGGCCCUUCGGGGUACUCGAGUGGCGAACGGGUGAGUAACACGUGGGUGAUCUGCCCUGCACUUUGGGAUAAGCCUGGGAAACUGGGUCUAAUACCGAAUAUGAUCAUCGGCUUCAUGGUCGGUGGUGGAAAGCUUUUGCGGUGUGGGAUGGGCCCGCGGCCUAUCAGCUUGUUGGUGGGGUAAUGGCCUACCAAGGCGACGACGGGUAGCCGGCCUGAGAGGGUGACCGGCCACACUGGGACUGAGAUACGGCCCAGACUCCUACGGGAGGCAGCAGUGGGGAAUAUUGCACAAUGGGCGCAAGCCUGAUGCAGCGACGCCGCGUGAGGGAUGACGGCCUUCGGGUUGUAAACCUCUUUCAGCACAGACGAAGCGCAAGUGACGGUAUGUGCAGAAGAAGGACCGGCCAACUACGUG
rnacentral:rRNA from 1 species